GUUUAAAUUAAUGAUUUUAAUUUGCAAAGCAAAAUUGGCACUUAAAAAUAUAUUUCGUAUUUGGACGCUGGAUGCUAUAAAAGUAUAAAUGUUUGGGUGCCUAAAAACCUUGAAGUUGCUAUAUAAAUCAAAACUUUUUUUUAUUGAGUGGUGGCUCGUGUAACAUCAAGCUCGAGCCUGAGCUCACUUUGGCUUGGCUCGACUCAUUUACAGCCCUACUGCAGAUAACUGUUUUGGAUAAUAACUGAUUUAGUUAUGCCAUAUUAACUCAUUCUAUGUUGUCAAGACGCAAUGCGCAGGCAAGGUGCAUAGGCCUCGGCCGGAGCCUAGGCGCAAGGAGCAAAAAAGACGAGGGCUUUUUCAAGAAAGGCGGAGGAAAAAAAAUUAAAAAAUAUAUUAUGCUUUGAAAAUAGAUACAAAAGCACAAAAAUUGUGCCACAAAAGUCUUUUUAUAUUGUGGCAAAAAGAAGUGCCACUAAAAGUCCAAAAACUUUGUGCGGCAUAUUGAAAAAGUGCCACUAAAAGGCUUUAGCGUUAGCGCUUCUAGUGACACUUGUUUUGUGUGCCGCCCAUUCCUACAAGGGCCUUUAGUGACACUUUUUUGUGUUUUUGUGUCACUUUUUGUAUGUCAAUAGAUGGCAUUUAUUUGUAGUGGGUGUUCCAUGUUUUCAGCUCAUCCAUUGUGGAUGCAUUGUCUCACUUAUGACUGACUAUUCGCUGGGUGAUUUUGGUGGGAUUACCUGUGUAAACUGUUCAAGAACUUAAUCUUCUUCUAGCACAUCUUCACUUUAAUGCUGAAACAAGGCCUCAAGAUUCGAUAUCACUGUGAUGUGGCAGAUCAGAGACUUGCUCAACAUAUUGACAAAGGAAACGAAGAAGGGUUGCUUAUCAGCAGUGUGGCUUCUUGCUCAAACCUAUGGGCUCUUAUAAUGGAUUCUGGCACUGUAUCACCUCUCAAGUUUACCAACUCUCUCAUUUCUCAACAAGGUUUUUCAUGCUUUAGGGUCUGGUUUGUUGAAUGAUUUAUUCUAGAUAGGGGGUGUGAAUUUCUGACACCACCCUAAUACACGACACGAACCUAACACGAAAUUCGCGGGUUUGGGUUUAGUCUAAACGGGUUCGGGUCAGUUUCAAGUUGAACCCGCCCACCCAUUUAGCUAAACGGGUCAGGUUCGGGUCAACCCGGUCGGGUUGGUGGGUUGACUCGUUUAACCCAUUUCUAUAAUAUUAUAUUUUUUACAAUAUGUUUUAUGUUAUAAAUUAAAUUUGGUGUGUAUUUUAUGCUAUACUUAUAACUUAAAAAUAGAAAUUGA